GAUGAACGCUAGCGGCAGGCUUAAUACAUGCAAGUCGUACGGGAUCCGAGGUAGCAAUACUUUGGUGAGAGUGGCGCACGGGUGCGUAACACGUAUGCAACCUACCUAUAACCGGGACACAACCUUGAGAAAUUGAGGCUAAUAUCCCAUAACACUGCGAAGUGGCAUCACAUUGCAGUUAAAACUCCGGUGGUAAUAGAUGGGCAUGCGCGACAUUAGCUAGUUGGUGAGGUAACGGCCCACCAAGGCUACGAUGUCUAGGGGUUCUGAGAGGAUUAUCCCCCACACUGGUACUGAGACACGGACCAGACUCCUACGGGAGGCAGCAGUAAGGAAUAUUGGUCAAUGGGCGCAAGCCUGAACCAGCCAUGCCGCGUGAAGGAUGACGGCCCUAUGGGUUGUAAACUUCUUUUGUACGGGAAAAAACCACCGGUCGUGUAUCGGUGCUGAUGGUACCGUAAGAAUAAGCAUCGGCUAACUCCGUGCCAGCAGCCGCGGUAAUACGGAGGAUGCAAGCGUUAUCCGGAUUCAUUGGGUUUAAAGGGUGCGCAGGCGGAGUGAUAAGUCAGUGGUGAAAGCCUACAGCUUAACUGUAGAACUGCCAUUGAUACUGUCAUUCUUGAGUAUUGUUGAGGUAGGCGGAAUGUGUCAUGUAGCGGUGAAAUGCUUAGAUAUGACACAGAACACCGAUCGCGAAGGCAGCUUACCAAGCAAUAACUGACGCUCAUGCACGAAAGCGUGGGGAUCAAACAGGAUUAGAUACCCUGGUAGUCCACGCCGUAAACGAUGAUCACUCGAUGUUGGCGAUACACAGUCAGCGUCUUAGGGAAACUAUUAAGUGAUCCACCUGGGGAGUACGGUCGCAAGAUUGAAACUCAAAGGAAUUGACGGGGGCCCGCACAAGCGGAGGAGCAUGUGGUUU
rnacentral:rRNA from 1 species